rnacentral:rRNA from 1 species
ACUGCGGAGGGAUCAUUACCGAGUUACAACUCCCAAACCCAAUGUGAACCAUACCAAACUGUUGCCUCGGCGGGGUCACGCCCCGGGUGCGUCGCAGCCCCGGAACCAGGCGCCCGCCGGAGGGACCAACCAAACUCUUUACUGUAGUCCCCUCGCGGACGUUAUUUCUUACAGCUCUGAGCAAAAAUUCAAAAUGAAUCAAAACUUUCAACAACGGAUCUCUUGGUUCUGGCAUCGAUGAAGAACGCAGCGAAAUGCGAUAAGUAAUGUGAAUUGCAGAAUUCAGUGAAUCAUCGAAUCUUUGAACGCACAUUGCGCCCGCCAGUAUUCUGGCGGGCAUGCCUGUCCGAGCGUCAUUUCAACCCUCGAACCCCUCCGGGGGGUCGGCGUUGGGGAUCGGGAACCCCUCAGACGGGAUCCCGGCCCCGAAAUACAGUGGCGGUCUCGCCGCAGCCUCUCCUGCGCAGUAGUUUGCACAACUCGCACCGGGAGCGCGGCGCGUCCACGUCCGUAAAACACCCAACUUCUGAAAUGUGACCCUCGGAACAGGUUAGUAAUACCGC